rnacentral:ncRNA from 1 species
CAUCAUCGACAACGCGUUCAGCAAGAAGCCGCAGGUCAUCACGAUCGAGGCGACCGACAAGGCGUUCAAGACAAGUGGUUGCCAGCCGUGGCAGCCGACCGACGCUGUCCCGGACACCCCGGCCAACGGCGCCAUUCCGGCACUGGUCGGCGGGGCCAAGCUGCGGGCAUGGAUG